rnacentral:rRNA from 1 species
AUUGAACGCUGGCGGAAUGCUUUACACAUGCAAGUCGAGCGGCAGCGCGGGGCAACCUGGCGGCGAGCGGCGAACGGGUGAGUAAUGCAUCGGAACAUGUCCAUGUCGUGGGGGAUAGCCCGGCGAAAGCCGGAUUAAUACCGCAUACGCCCGAGAGGGGAAAGCAGGGGACCGCAAGGCCUUGCGCGAUUGGGUUGGCCGAUGUCCGAUUAGCUUGUUGGUGAGGUAAAGGCUUACCAAGGCGAUGAUCGGUAGCUGGUCUGAGAGGAUGAUCAGCCACACUGGGACUGAGACACGGCCCAGACUCCUACGGGAGGCAGCAGUGGGGAAUUUUGGACAAUGGGGGCAACCCUGAUCCAGCCAUUCCGCGUGAGUGAAGAAGGCCUUCGGGUUGUAAAGCUCUUUUGUCCGGAGCGAAACGGGCGGCCCUAAUACGGUCGUCUACUGACGGUACCGGAAGAAUAAGCACCGGCUAACUACGUG